AUGCAGUGUGCUUGCAGCUGCGACAGAAAUGCCAGUGGCUGCAGACCCGUGUCAGCCUCGGAGCUGUCCUCCGGCUCUGAUGAGGACUGCCUCAAGGAUCUGACAGGAGGAAUUGAGUAUGCUGCCAAGAUAUUAAAUGAAAUUCCCCAGAAAGACAUUCAGUGCACUAAAAGAGCCUCAAAGGCAGAAAGGGAAGGAAAUGGGCAAGCUAGAUGCAUCAGCAAUGUUAGCCCUGCAGUGCUGUGUCACUUGGGACUCUGGGCCAUGACUUGCAGUGAUGUGGAAAGAAAACUGCUUCCUGCUCCACAGAGCAAGACCCACGGAGAAGAAUGCCUGGUGCUGCAGCGUCAGUUCUUAAGGGGAUUUGGAAUAAUCUUAACCUUUUGA
rnacentral:lncRNA from 1 species